AUGACCUCCGGUCUGAUUCGGCUCAUGUUGUUGUGUAUGGAUGUGCCUACCGUGGCCUUCAACCAUGAGCUGCUCAUAGAAGACGUCUUGUCUUACUCAUCCUGGGAAAAAGAGGAAGAAGACCUUGAGUAUGAUCACGUGACCAAGCAAUUGCAUUUAAACGUCCCCGAGGCUGUAUUCACCCCGUUCUCCACCUCGGUUUCCCGGAAAGCCCUUCACCAAACCCUGAUGUCUGAAGUCCGCAGUUUCUGGGGGUUUCGCCACAGCCACCUGCAGCUGUGGGCCUAUAAUUCGCCCCUCCACUUUGGGAUCGGCACCAGGCUCACCGUGACAGACAAUCUGAGCCGAGUGCACCCGCCCAAGGUGGCUGUGUUCGAACCCUCGGAAGCAGAGAUCUCCCGGACCCAGAAGGCCACCCUCGUGUGCCUGGCCACGGGCUUUUACCCCGACCACGUGGAGCUGACCUGGUGGGUGAACAGGAAGCAGGUCACCACUGGGGUCAGCACAGACCCUGAGCCCUACAAAGAGGACCUCACGCAGAAUGACUCCAGAUACUGUCUGAGCAGCCGGCUGAGGGUGACCGCCGCCUUCUGGCACAACCCCCGCAACCACUUCCGAUGCCAAGUCCAGUUCUACGGGCUCACGGACCAGGACCAGUGGGAGGAGCAGGACAGGGCCAAGCCCGUCACCCAGAACAUCAGCGCCGAGACCUGGGGCAGAGCAGACUGUGGCGUCACCUCCGCGUCUUAUCAGCAAGGCGUCCUGUCUGCCACCCUCCUCUAUGAGAUCCUGCUGGGGAAGGCCACCCUGUAUGCUGUGCUGGUCAGCGCCCUGGUGCUGAUGGCCAUGGUCAAGAGAAAAGAUUCCUGAAGCCAGCUUCCAGCCUGUUACUGCCCUGAUAGGAAUUCUGCUUUUCCCGUUCCUACCCAGUGCUUCUGAAGAGCUGCCCUCAUCUCUGGACUCAGCCCAGCGUCCACCCCCAUGUGCGGGUGCCCCAAACUCUCAGGACCAGGAUCUCCCUAACCCAGGGGAGACCCUAGGGGGACUGAACUUACUGAACCAAUAAAAAUGGCCUGUUGUGUUCACUCUG